rnacentral:rRNA from 1 species
UACAGAGGGUGCAAGCGUUGUUCGGAAUCAUUGGGCGUAAAGCGCGUGUAGGUGGCUUUCUAAGUUUGGUGUGAAAGCCCGGGGCUCAACCCCGGAAGUGCACUGAAUACUGGAAAGCUAGAGGGCGAGAGAGGAGAUUGGAAUUCAUGGUGUAGGGGUGAAAUCCGUAGAUAUCAUGAGGAACAUCUGUGGCGAAGGCGAAUCUCUGGCUCGUUUCUGACACUGAGACGCGAAAGCGUGGGGAGCAAACAGG